rnacentral:rRNA from 2 species
GAGGAACGCUGGCGGCGCGCCUAACACAUGCAAGUCGAACGGUUAAAGCACCUUUUAGGUGUGUAUAAAGUGGCGAACGGCUGAGUAACACGUGGGCAACCUGCCCUCCUCUUGGGGAUAGCCUCGGGAAACCGAGGAUAAUACCCGAUACUUCAAUGUGGCCGCAUGACGACAUUGAGAAAGCUUUUGCGGAGAAGGAUGGGCCCGCGGCCUGUUAGCUUGUUGGUGGGGUAGAGGCCUACCAAGGCAAUGAUGGGUAGCUGGGUUGAGAGACCGACCAGCCAGAUUGGGACUGAGACACGGCCCAGACUCCUACGGGAGGCAGCAGUGGGGAAUCUUGCACAAUGGGCGAAAGCCUGAUGCAGCGACGCCGCGUGCGGGACGAAGGCCUUCGGGUUGUAAACCGCUUUCAGCAGGGACGAGGCGAAAGUGACGGUACCUGCAGAAGAAGCCCCCGCUAACUAC